rnacentral:tRNA from 1 species
UCCUCUGUAGUUCAGUCGGUAGAACGGCGGACUGUUAAUCCGUAUGUCACUGGUUCGAGUCCAGCAGAGGA